rnacentral:lncRNA from 1 species
UCACUAACGUUCUCAAAGUGAGAAAAUUCUCAGCUCAAGAUUUUCUCAGAAUUGUCUGAGAAUUGUCUCAGCUGAGAAAUUUCUCAAGUUGGCUUUCACUAAACUUUUUCUCAAGUCGUGAGAUUUUUCUCAGCUGAGCCGUAAUUUUUUUAAGACAUAAGCGGCCAAACAUCCAAGGAGCCGCGUGAACUUUCCCACGAACACGAGUGCAUAGUUGGAGGCAGUGGAUUUAUUCAUUUACUGAGACAAAAUGGAGCGUUGAGAAAUGUUCAUAAACAACAUGUACAGUUUCGGGAUAUAUCCAAAUUGUAUGUUUGUACAAAGGUCACAGCCUGCUAAUGAAGAUCCUCAGCUUAUACAGAGGUCAGGCUUGAGCUAUGUGCUGAUGCUAAUGACAGUGGAUAAUCCAUUCUGAGUUGUUCUAGGACCAUUCACCAACGUUUCAAAACACUGAUGGAACUGAAGGCAGUAUGUGUACUGGUGUCUGGCCUGUGAUUUCAAGUAUAAUUGAUGUACCUCCUCCUGAUGUAUCUCCUUGAAUACAAUGUAUCUGCCAUGUGAAAGGAACAAGCUGCAGGAUAUACUGUGGAAGUGGGGGCCUAUGUAAAAAACAUUUUAUUUAAAGAAUAUAAGAAAUCUGACACUAAACUACUGAAAAGGUGCACAGGGGACAUUUUUGUGUGUAUAGACUUUCAUCAAGAUUCUGAGAAAGUUGAUUCAUUAAACAAAAAUAGUCAUAUUUUGUCUUCAAAGCUGAAAAGAUUAAGAUCUUAGGAAAACAUUAGGACUCAAGAAAAGUAAUGGGGUUAUGAAACUGUAGUGUUCAACAUUUAAAUUGUUUUUGUUUUUUUCACUACAUUUUGUCAAGAGGGUUCCAUCACAAGAUGUGACAUAUUGGUAAGAAUGAGAUGUAGUUUAUGAAAAAAAGUAUUUUGCUUUAAAUGUGCAGACUUUAAGUUACAUAAAAAAUCAAAGCUGUAACAAUAAAGCUUGAUUAAAAAAACACACUGUUGAAAACUAGCCUUCAUGUAAAUGUCACACGUUUUUGGAUGCACAGGGGACACAAUUAGCUAUAUAAUUUAAUAUGAUUUUAACCCCUAGGCCCUUGCUAAAUUUCUAUAAUGAACUUGUCCGUUUUACAAUUUGGACAGUAUUAUUAAGUGUUAAAAGGGGUGCUAACCAAAAAGAUACUGAUUGAAUGGCGAACAGUGCAGAUCAAGAUCAGACUGCACAGAUGUGCAGGCUGAUCAUGAUCUACACUUGUAACAAAGGUAGGACCAAGCAUGUACAGCAUGAUAAGGGUUAAAACUGCUUGAGCCAUUCAGCUGAAAUUGCAAACAUUUGUUGACUACAUUGAUUGGAUAUAUGUAAUUUGCCCCAAAACACUUUAUAAAACUGAACUGAAUUAAAAUAAGGUGAGAGAGAAGAAAAAGCUUAAUUAUUUAAAAAAAACAAUAUAGCCAAUAGAUAUACAUUGUUGAAGGCAUUAUCUUUGUUUACAUUAAAUUUAAAUGUGGCUGCCACGUUGUUUGUUAGGAACAUAAGACACAUUAAUUUCUUGUUUUCGAAUUUUAAUUAUCGCAUUUAUGUGUCAAAGAUUGGCAUGGGUGAAAAUGUUACUGAAAAUAUUAAAUCAGUUUUUAUUGAUUAACUCCCUUUUUGGCUUGUGCAGUAUAAAGUCAUGUGCAUCAUUGAAAGUAUAUGUAGUACUUUUCUAACCAACUGAUAAACAUUCUAUUUUUGGAAAGUUUGUUGCAUAAGUUAAAGGAGGUUUUUUUGUAUGAAAUUUACAUGGUGUAGGCCUUUAAGCUGUUUACUUUAAAAACCACCUUGCAUUUUUGAUAAUUUCUUAUGUAAUUAAGUCAUUUCUAAUGUUUUCUCUUUUAAUUGACCCUGAGUGGCAGUUCUUGUUAACUACAAAACCAUCUACUAUUAUUGGUUAACUAAUUACUGGAAUAGUGAGCAUUUUAACAUUAUUUCAUCACAAUGCACUCCUUUAUGGGAAUAGGGAGGCAAUAGCACAUUUAACUAUUAAACUAAUUAUUAAACUAUGUCAUUUGAAUGAAAACAGCCUUAGACACACCUGAAAAUCAGAUAAAUUUGAAAAUACAUGCAAAGUUUUAAAAAUGUUUUUGGAUUUAAGUUAUAACAUUUUCUUAUUUUUAUCUUCAGUUGGUUAUAAAUGCAACUGAUUGUUUUUAUCAACAUCUGUUGUCAGGUGUGUUUCGUCCCAAUUUAAUUUUGUGACCCAUACAGUGUUUCCAGGACUCAUCAGUAAGAGAAACACCAUCAACUUGAGUCAACAACAUAACUUUUAACAUGUGAACAGAAGUUAAUUAUAAACAUUUUCAAAGGAACAUAGUGAACUGGAACAGUAAAUGAAAA